GCCACUGAUGAUCCUACUUAUAGGAAUUGCCGUCUGAACGAUAAUUGCAGACAAACUUAUAACUGAGG